rnacentral:ribozyme from 1 species
GGAGUCGAAGAAAGCCAAGAAGAAGAAGAAAAAGAAAGGAAAGAAAAAAUAGGGUCCUAUAGUAAAUCCUGUGUUGUUCCUGACGCUUUCU